rnacentral:rRNA from 1 species
AAGGUGGUGAAGCAAUUGAUGCCCCGCUUCCAGGAAAAGCCUCUAAGCUUCAGGUUACCAACAAUCGUACCCCAAACCGACACAGGUGGUCAGGUAGAGAAUACUCAGGCGCUUGAGAGAACUCGGGUGAAGGAACUAGGCAAAAUGGUGCCGUAACUUCGGGAGAAGGCACGCUGGCGGUAGGUAAAGUCCCUCGCGGACGGCGCUGAAGCCAGUCGAAGAUACCAGCUGGCUGCAACUGUUUAUUAAAAACACAGCACUGUGCAAACACGAAAGUGGACGUAUACGGUGUGACGCCUGCCCGGUGCUGGAAGGUUAAUUGAUGGGGUCAGCCGCAAGGCGAAGCUCCUGAUCGAAGCCCCAGUAAACGGCGGCCGUAACUAUAACGGUCCUAAGGUAGCGAAAUUCCUUGUCGGGUAAGUUCCGACCUGCACGAAUGGCGUAAUGAUGGCCAGGCUGUCUCCACCCGAGACUCAGUGAAAUUGAACUCGCUGUGAAGAUGCAGUGUACCCGCGGCAAGACGGAAAGACCCCGUGAACCUUUACUAUAGCUUGACACUGAACAUUGAGCCUUGAUGUGUAGGAUAGGUGGGAGGCUUUGAAGUGUGGACGCCAGUCUGCAUGGAGCCAACCUUGAAAUACCACCCUUUAACGUUUGAUGUUCUAACCUAGGCCCAUAAACUGGGUCGGGGACCGUGUCUGGUGGGUAGUUUGACUGGGGCGGUCUCCUCCUAAAGAGUAACGGAGGAGCACGAAGGUUGGCUAAGCAUGGUCGGACAUCAUGCGGUUAGUGCAAAGGCAUAAGCCAGCUUGACUGCGAGAGUGACGGCUCGAGCAGGUACGAAAGUAGGUCUUAGUGAUCCGGUGGUUCUGAAUGGAAGGGCCAUCGCUCAACGGAUAAAAGGUACUCCGGGGAUAACAGGCUGAUACCGCCCAAGAGUUCAUAUCGACGGCGGUGUUUGGCACCUCGAUGUCGGCUCAUCACAUCCUGGGGCUGAAGUAGGUCCCAAGGGUAUGGCUGUUCGCCAUUUAAAGUGGUACGCGAGCUGGGUUUAGAACGUCGUGAGACAGUUCGGUCCCUAUCUGCCGUGGGCGUUGGAAGAUUGAGAGGGGUUGCUCCUAGUACGAGAGGACCGGAGUGAACGCACCACUGGUGUUCGGGUUGUCAUGCCAAUGGCAUUGCCCGGUAGCUAAGUGCGGAAGAGAUAACCGCUGAAAGCAUCUAAG